rnacentral:rRNA from 1 species
UCGGGAAUUUUGGGCAAUGGGCGAAAGCCUGACCCAGCAACGCCGCGUGAAGGAUGAAAUCUUUCGGGAUGUAAACUUCGGAAGAAUAGGAAGAAUAAAAUGACGGUACUAUUUUAAGGUCCGGCUAACUACGUGCCAGCAGCCGCGGUAAUACGUAGGGACCAAGCGUUGUUCGGAUUUACUGGGCGUAAAGGGCGCGUAGGCGGCGUAAUAAGUCACUUGUGAAAUCUCCGGGCUUAACUCGGAGCGGCCAAGUGAUACUGUUAGGCUAGAGUGCAGAAAGGGCAAUCGGAAUUCUUGGUGUAGCGGUGAAAUGCGUAGAUAUCAAGAGGAACACCUGAGGCGAAGGCGGGUUGCUAGGCUGACACUGACGCUGAGGCGCGAAAGCUAGGGUAGCAAACGGGAUUAGAUACCCACGUAGUCCCUGAGCGGGCUGGCAAGGCGCAU